rnacentral:tRNA from 1 species
CAAAUCAUUCCUUGUUAGAAGGGAUUAUUAGUUACAAUAAUAAUUUAAGUUGUGCAAUUCAAUUUGAUUUGA